ACUCGAUGCUCUUGAUGCCCUCGGGAACAACCCUGGGUAGGACAUUGUGGGACUCGAGGACCAAAGCCUUGAACAUCCUCGAUGGGGCAAUGCUGCUUGUGAUCUCCAGCGAGUAGGUGAUGACUCCCAUGUUGGCCUUGUGAGAAACAAAGAGAAGUGAACUCAAGAAGGGUGGUGGAAGGGUUUUGUGUGAUUGCUAAUGGAGAAGGUUUGAGCUGAUGAAGAUGAUGAGGAGAGCUACUUGGUACUUAUAGGCAAGUCCAUUGGUGAGUGCUCCGUCAUCAUUGAAACUUCAAAGCACGCCAAGUUGGACUAGCCGGCCUU